UACGUAGGGUGCGAGCGUUAAUCGGAAUUACUGGGCGUAAAGCGUGCGCAGGCGGUUUUGUAAGCCAGAUGUGAAAUCCCCGGGCUCAACCUGGGAAUGGCAUUUGAGACUGCUCUGCUCGGGUGCGGAAGAGGGAAGCGGAAUUUCCGGUGUAGCGGUGAAAUGCGUAGAUAUCGGAAGGAACACCAGUGGCGAAAGCGGCUUCCUGGUCCGACACCGACGUUCAGGCACGAAAGCGUGGGGAGCAAACAGG
rnacentral:rRNA from 1 species